GACAGAGGGGGCAAGCGUUGCUCGGAAUCACUGGGCGUAAAGGGUGCGUAGGCGGGUUUUUAAGUCAGGGGUGAAAUCCUGGAGCUCAACUCCAGAACUGCCUUUGAUACUGAAGAUCUUGAGUCCGGGAGAGGUGAGUGGAACUGCGAGUGUAGAGGUGAAAUUCGUAGAUAUUCGCAAGAACACCAGUGGCGAAGGCGGCUCACUGGCCCGGUACUGACGCUGAGGCACGAAAGCGUGGGGAGCAAACAGG
rnacentral:rRNA from 1 species